rnacentral:rRNA from 1 species
AGUGAACGCUGGCGGUGGGCCUAACACAUGCAAGUCGAACGGCAGCACAGUAAGAGCUUGCUCUUACGGGUGGCGAGUGGCGGACGGGUGAGGAAUACAUCGGAAUCUACUUUUUCGUGGGGGAUAACGUAGGGAAACUUCCGCUAAUACCGCAUACGACCUACGGGUGAAAGCAGUGGAUCUUCGGACCUUGCGCGUUUGAAUGAGCCGAUGUCGGAUUAGAUAGUUGGCGGGGUAAAGGCCCACCAAGGCGACGAUACGUAGCUGGUCUGAGGGGAUGAGCAGCCACACGGGAACUGAGAAACGGUCCAGACUCCGACGGGAGGCAGCAGCGGGGAAUAUUGGACAAAGGGCGAAAGCCUGAUCCAGCCAUACCGCGUGGGUGAAGAAGGCCUUCGGGUUGUAAAGCCCUUUUGUUGGGAAAGAAAAGCAGCAGGUUAAUACCCCGCUGGUCUGACGGUACCCAAAGAAGAAGCACCGGCUAACUUCGUG